rnacentral:rRNA from 1 species
AUUGAACGCUGGCGGCAGGCCUAACACAUGCAAGUCGAGCGGAUGAAGGGAGCUUGCUCCUGGAUUCAGCGGCGGACGGGUGAGUAAUGCCUAGGAAUCUGCCUGGUAGUGGGGGAUAACGUCCGGAAACGGGCGCUAAUACCGCAUACGUCCUGAGGGAGAAAGUGGGGGAUCUUCGGACUUCACGCUAUCAGAUGAGCCUAGGUCGGAUUAGCUAGUUGGUGGGGUAAAGGCCUACCAAGGCGACGAUCCGUAACUGGUCUGAGAGGAUGAUCAGUCACACUGGAACUGAGACACGGUCCAGACUCCUACGGGAGGCAGCAGUGAGGAAUAUUGGACAAUGGGCGAAAGCCUGAUCCAGCCAUGCCGCGUGUGUGAAGAAGGUCUUCGGAUUGUAAAGCACUUUAAGUUGGGAGGAAGGGCAGUAAGUUAAUACCUUGCUGUUUUGACGUUACCAACAGAAUAAGCACCGGCUAACUUCGUG